rnacentral:rRNA from 1 species
UACGGAGGGUGCAAGCGUUAUCCGGAUUCAUUGGGUUUAAAGGGAGCGUAGGUGGCCUUAUAAGUCAGUGGUGAAAUCUCUGGGCUUAACCCAGAAAUUGCCAUUGAUACUGUAGGGCUUGAGUACAGUUGCUGUGGGCGGAAUAUGACAUGUAGUGGUGAAAUACAUAGAGAUGUCAUAGAACACCGAUUGCGAAGGCAGCUCACAAAACUGUAACUGACACUGAGGCUCGAAAGUGCGGGGAUCAAACAGG